AACGUAGGUUCCGAGCGUUAUCCGGAUUUACUGGGCGUAAAGCGCGUUCAGGCGGUUUGGCAAGUCGGGCAUGAAAUCUCUCGGCUCAACCGGGAGAGGUUGUCCGAUACUGCUGGACUUGAGGGCAGUAGAGGGUGGUGGAAUUCCGGGUGUAGUGGUGAAAUGCGUAGAUAUCCGGAGGAACACCAGUGGCGAAAGCGGCCACCUGGACUGUACCUGACGCUGACACGCGAAAGCUAGGGGAGCGAACGGA
rnacentral:rRNA from 1 species